rnacentral:piRNA from 1 species
UGCCCAAGCCAUCUUCCUGCUCGUCUUG